GCCCGUGUUAAGACUCGAGCCCAACAUUUUUUCUCUCUCUCCCUUCCUUUCUACCCCUCGGCCCUCCUUCUCGCCCGCAGUCACACAGACCGAUUCCUUCUGCGCAGCCCCUCGCCACCUGUCUUUCCCGUCGUCAGUUUCCACGCCACGCCGGAUAAACCCGUGGAGGCCUUAGGAGCUAGCCGCAACGCCUCAUCUUGCCAAGUGCCUCAGACCACCACGAGCCAUCUCUAGGCGGCCGCCACCCUCUCGAAUUUGACUGACCGCUGCUCUGAGAUUGGGUUGUAAUAUUGCCACGGUUCGGGUUCAAGGCUUAGAUAGUACUCUCCAAAAUUCAGAUAUUGAACGAUUUAUAAUACCAGAAUCAUUGUUAGCGUUUCCUGUCUGGGCGAGAUGCUUUCUAUAAGAAAGAUUAAGCACCAGAUUACUGUGAAUUCCUCUUCUGCUUUAUAUCUCUUACUUGCUGCCAGCAAUAGCAACAUGAAUCGAGUAUUUAGAUGCAAAUCUCAUGGUUAUUGGCGUUGCUAUUCUCUCUGCCAGUUUGUUAGCUCCACUUUGACCUGCUUGGACACUCACACUGUUGUCUUGGGAUUACUGAAUAGCUUUACCCUUCAACCUAAGUAUUCAUCAACAAUGGCUGGAAGAAUUUUGGUCCAGGCUCGAGACCCAGCUAAACUAACUAUGGAUAUACAAAAUGCAAUGGACGAAGGUAGAUUUAAUGACACAUGGAAAUUAUAUGAACAGCAUAUGCAGAUGGAGGGUUUUCCUCGGAAAUCUGUAGUGAACAAGCUUCUAACAAGUUUUGCAGAAAGCCUUGAUGUUCAAUGGCUUGAGAAGGCUUAUGGAUUAGUAGAGCAGGCUUUCGAGGAAGGUAAACAGACCUUAUUUGAAAAGGAUCCACUUGUAUAUCUCUCUUAUGGUCUUGCAAAAUCUGGAUUACCAGUUCUUGCAUCAACAAUUUUAAGAAAGUUGGUAGAAAUGGAAGAGUAUCCCCCUGUUUCUGCUUGGGCUGCAAUUUUGGCCUUCAUGUCACAAACAGCUGCUGGUGCUUACCUUGCUGCUGAGAUAAUUCUUGAGAUGGGUUACUUGUUUCAAGAUGGGAGGGUGGAUCCGCGUAAAAAGAGUAAUGCACCUUUGAUUGCUAUGAAACCUAACACCACUGCUGUCAACAUUGCUCUGGCAGGGUGUCUUUUGUUUGGUACGACUAGGAAAGCAGAGCAACUCCUUGACAUGAUACCUCGAAUUGGUGUCAAAUAUGAGACAAACUUAUUGAUCAUUAUGGCCCAUAUAUAUGAGAGAAAUGGACGAAAAGAAGAGCUGAAGAAGCUUCAAAGAUAUAUUGAUGAAGCUCAUAACCUAAGUGAUAUUCAGUUUCGGCAGUUCUACAAUUGUUUGAUUACAUGCUACUUAAAAUUUGGUGAUCUAGAUUCUGCAUCCAACAUGGUUUUGGAAAUGCUCCGAAAAGCAAAAGAAGCCAGAAAUUCUCUUGCUGCAGCCACACUCUUAUAUGAUACUGCUUCAAGUGGGAAAAAAUCUCUGCCUGCUGAGGCUUCUGGGCAAAGUUUGAGUCAGAAGCGAUCAGAGGGUUCGGAGAAUAAUAGAUUAAUUAGAUAUGAAGAGUUUUCUAGGGACAGGAAUUUCCUGAAACUUGAAGCUGAAGCGAAGCAAAUGCUUGGUACGUUGUUGUCUAAGUUGCAAAUGCAAGUUGAAUUGCUUACAACCGAAUGUGGAGUUCUUCAACCAACUGAAAGAAUUUAUGCAAAACUGGUAAAGGCUUUUCUAGAAGUUGACAAGACCAAGGAUUUGGCAAAAUUCCUCAUCAAGGCUGAGAAAGAAAAUUCCCCAGUUUCCAGUGAUAGCUCAGCCUUGGUUCAUGUUAUUAAUUCAUGCAUUUCACUUGGGUGGUUAGAUCAGGCACAUGACCUGCUUGACGAGAUUCGUUUUGCUGGGAUAAGAACUAGCUCUUCCAUAUAUUCCUCUCUCUUGAAAGCGUAUUGCAAGGCAAACCGAGCAGGAGAGGUGGCAUCGCUUUUAAGAGAUGCUCGUAAGGCUGGCAUCCAGCUAGAUUCCAGCUGUUAUGAGGCGCUUAUGCAAUCCAAAGUGCUUCAGAAAGAUACACAGGGUGCCCUCCAUCUAUUCCAAGAGAUGAAAGAGGCUAAAAUACCACGAGCUGGCCAUCAAGAGUUUGAGAUGCUAGUUAAGGGAUGUGAGGAUGGUGGUGAGGGAGGGUUGAUGGCAAAGCUCUUGCAGGAAAUUAAGGAAGGGCAGAGAUUUGAUAGUGGAGUGCAUGAUUGGAACAAUGUAAUACACUUUUUUUGCAAGAAGAGAUUGAUGCAAGAUGCUGAAAAGGCUCUGAUGAAGAUGAGGAGUUUGGGGCAUCCCCCCAAUGCUCAAACUUUUCAUUCCAUGGCUACUGGGUAUGCAGCUAUUGGGGGAAAAUAUGUGGAGGUGACAGAGUUGUGGGGUGAGAUGAAGAGUCUUGCCUCUUCUGCAUCAAUGAAGUUUGAUCAAGAACUUCUGGAUUCUGUGCUAUAUACAUUUGUCAGGGGUGCAUUUUUUGUUCGAGCAAAUGAAGUUGUGGACAUGAUGGAAAAAGGAAAGAUGUUUGUUGACAAGUACAAAUACCGAACUCUCUUCUUGAAGUACCACAAAACACUUUAUAAGGGCAAGGCCCCUAAAUUCCAGACAGAAGCUCAACUGAAAAAGAGAGAAGCAGCAUUGACUUUUAAGAAGUGGGUGGGCUUGUGCUGAGGCAAAUCAUGGUCUAUUACACACCUUGUUUUGGACAAUAAUCUGGUGAUUGUUGACUCCUUCAUUUGUGCUUGAAGUUAAGAGGUGAAGUAUUUGAUGAAGAGUCCACAGGUUAGGUGUAGCUUAUAAUGACUAUGGCAAGACCAGACUUAGUUUUAGGUUAGGAGUAGCUUAUAGAGACUAUGGCAAGACCAGACUUAGUUUUAUUCAAUUAUCAAUAAGUUGUUUAUGUAUUUUCUUGUUAAAUAUGGAAUGUUUUGGAAAGCACAAGAAUGGUUUUUUUAUUUAUGAAAAUUUUAGGUUUUUUUUUUAAACAUUUAUGGGAUCUUUUAUUCCUGGCUCGUAUGUGAUGUUAUGUUAGUUACAUUCCUAAUCCUAGGGGAACGGACCUUACAAUUUUGGUAUCAAAGUCCAGGCUAAAGAGAUUCUGUAUAUUUUGAAAUCUAAAAAAAGAAAAAGAAACCUAGGACUAGGUCUACCUGGGGUAUAUUCUGGCUUGCAAAGAGUUAAGUUAGAAUUGAUUGUUGUUAUUUUCUGUUUCUUUGUCUCCCAAUUGCUAAAGCUACUCAAUGUAGGCAUUUCAAGUAUGGCACUUACUACUAGGAAUCACCCAAACGCACACCAAGAUGCUCCCUUGAUGCGUGCAAUGAGGAUCAUAGGAGGGCUCUGGGGGAUUCUGAAGCCCUUGCACAUGUGGCCACAAGCCUAAUUGAGGCUUUAAUUAACGGACCAUCUGUGGAUGUUGGACAGCCACAUUUGGGAAGUAACUUUGAUCAAUUCUGCCACCUGCAUCCCUCUAUGUUCAAUGGCAAAGCUGAUGUUAUGGAGUGCGAUAACUGGAUGAACAGGCUGGAGAAAAAUUUUCAGGCCAUCGACUGAACUGAGGAGCAAAUGGUUGAAUUUGCCACAUACAAUCUGGCUGAUGUGGCUGAUGAGUGGUGGACCUUCACCAGAAAGCUGAUAAAGCAAGAGCUUGGUGAAGAAACCCCAAUUACCUGGACAUGAUUUAAGCAGGUAUUCAGGGACCGAUUCUUCCUGAGGUCUUUAGAGAGGCCUAAGAGUUUGCAGAUUUGAGACAAGGGACUAUGUCAGUGACUCAGUACAACAAUAUGCAUCCUGGCUCAUCGAACUUUCACGCUCUGCCCCCCCAUAUCCGAUCCCAGAUGAGUCACUGAAGGCAUUCUUGAUAGAUUAAUCGCACUGAAGUUAAGGAAUUUUCAUGAAUUAGUGGACAGGGCAAUUAUCUUGGAGGAGAAUCUGCUGUUGAGGGUGGAACAAUUUAAUAAGAGAAAACAAACAGAUUACUAAGCAAAACUAAAGCAACAAGCCCUUCCAGAGCAGUGGACAGAGGCCACCACUGAACAGUAGGCCACAACAGAAUGCUACUGGACAAUGUACGUGUCAGACUUGUGGCAAGAUGCACAAGGGGAAGUACUUGAUGGGAACCAACACAUGCUUCAAGUGUGGGAAACUAGAACAUCUUAUUCGAGAUUAUUCACAGAUAUGUACACCCCCCCAUUAAUGAAUGGUGAGCAGAAAACUGCUCCAGAUCAGGCCUUUCUCCUCACUCCUUAUGAUGCCAAGAUGACGAACGUUGUGUUUGAAGGUGCUCUCCAUUAUUUUCUUGCCAGGAAGACAGCAUCACACAUGGUCAGACUAUAUAGGCAAGACAUUCUUUGUUUGCGUUGCUGUUUGGAAGUCUUGAGGGACUGAAGCCUUGGUGACCCAAAGAUUCGGCAGAUGAAUCUAGAGUUUCUCCAACAGAAACAAAUGUAUCUAAAAAGUAAAACCAUUCUUUUAGAUCUCCUGCAUGAAUGUCUUAUGCAUUAGCUCCAGGCAACAAGCAGCUUAGGGUUCGGCCCUCCAUCUUACCUAGUUUAUAGGAGAAAGCUUUCUGUUUGAGGGACCCAAAAAACUUCAGUUACAAAGUUUAUCAAAUCCAGAUGUUGCGGAGGAAGAAAUCGCAUCUGUGACAGACCUUCUCACCCAGCAAGCGAAAUCCAUUAAAGGAAAGUGUCAAAGGCCAUCUCAUGAUCGGUGGGAUUUGGAAAGGAGUUGGGGAAGAUGACCUACUUGCCAUAGAAUCUGAGGUAAGAAUUUUGCUCUAAAUCACAUUUAAUAUUGUCCGAGCAGUCAAGUGUGGACAGACAAUCUGAUGAGUUGUGGUAGUAAUUAAUAUGCCUAGAAACAGUUGUAUUCUGAAAUGUGCUAAAACUAAUAAAUUAAUCAACAUGGAAAUUGUUUUAUUA